rnacentral:tmRNA from 1 species
GGGGGUGACUGGCUUCGACAGGGAAAUCGACAUAUGUGUGUGCGGGCAAAGCUGUGGUCAGCUUUUCAAACCGCCACAAAAAUCCAAGUGCGAAAAACACUGGCGGGGUUCUUUCCCCGAUUCAGCUGGUUCCGGCUUUUGCCUAACCGGCCGUCCGCGAGUUGCUACGCUUGAAUAGCGCUCACCGGACGUCACUUCUUUCAAGCACUGAUGUCGACCGCUCGAGCGAUAUCUACGAUAAGAGCUCGGCUCUGCGCGAUUCUGUGCGUCUCAUACGCGCAUAGCUUAAACCACAAGAUGUUCUACGCCUCGUAGAAGCAUGCAUACUGUUUUUCCUUGGACGGGGGUUCGAACCCCCCACCUCCACCA